GACGAACGCUGGCGGCGUGCUUAACACAUGCAAGUCGAGCGGUAAGGCCCUUUCGGGGUACACGAGCGGCGAACGGGUGAGUAACACGUGGGUGACCUGCCCUCACGCUCUGGGAUAAGCCUGGGAAACCGGGUCUAAUACCGGAUAUGACUCCAUGACGCAUGUUGUGGGGUGGAAAGCCUUGUGCGGCUGAGGAUGGGCCCGCGGCCUAUCAGCUUGUUGGUGGGGUGANGGCCUACCAAGGCGACGACGGGUAGCCGGCCUGAGAGGGCGACCGGCCACACUGGGACUGAGACACGGCCCAGACUCCUACGGGAGGCAGCAGUGGGGAAUCUUGCGCAAUGGGCGAAAGCCUGACGCAGCGACGCCGCGUGAGGGAUGACGGCCUCGG
rnacentral:rRNA from 1 species